CUGCUCCUUCGGCCAGGGGAGUCCUUGUUCUCCGCGCUUCAGCGCUUCCGCGCUUCCGGGUUUCUGGCUCUGGGUUCCUGGCUCCGCCCGGGAAAGUUGGGGAAACCUGAGCACGCCCAUUUCAUGGAUGGCACUACGGAGGUCAUGGCUCUGAGGAUUGUCCAGGGCACCGCAGUCCACCCGCUAGCUAGGAAACAGAAGACUGUGUGGACCAGGAGCAGGAUAUAGGAUGAGAGGUUUCACAGCGAGGAUGCCUGAGGAGCUUGUGCAGAUGUCUGCCUUAGCUCCCUCAUGGUGACAGAGUGGCCCUGGGAUGCCUUUCUGGAGGCUACAGGGUGGAGGAGGGAACUUCAUGGAGGCAUCUGGGUUGGAGCACAAGGCUGGAGGAGUUGCAAUGGAAGUGUUCUGUGAAGCCUAACUCGGUUCCUGAACAAGCAGCGAGGUACCAGCUGCAGUGUAUGCAUGACAGGCUGGAAGGACCCUGCUACUGCAAGGCAGGCGGCAGAACCAC
rnacentral:lncRNA from 1 species